rnacentral:rRNA from 1 species
UACGGAGGAUGCAAGCGUUAUCCGGAUUUAUUGGGUUUAAAGGGUGCGUAGGCGGGACUGUAAGUCAGGGGUGAAAUACUGCAGCUUAACUGUAGCAUUGCCUUUGAAACUGCCGUUCUUGAGUACAGUUGAGGUAGGCGGAAUGUGGUGUGUAGCGGUGAAAUGCAUAGAUAUACCACAGAACGCCGAUUGCGAAGGCAGCUUACUAAGCUGUUACUGACGCUGAGGCACGAAAGCGUGGGGAUCAAACAGGAUUAGAUACCCUGGUAGUCCACGCUGUAAACGAUGAUUACUGGUUGUUAGCGAUAUAUAGCUAGUGACUGAGCGAAAGCAUUAAGUAAUCCACCUGGGGAGUACGUCGGCAACGAUGAAACUCAAAGGAAUUGACGGGGGCCCGCACAAGCGGAGGAACAUGUGGUUUAAUUCGAUGAUACGCGAGGAACCUUACCUGGGUUUAAAUGGGGAGUGACAGGUGUCGAAAGAUGCUUUUCCUUCGGGACACUCUUCAAGGUGCUGCAUGGUU